rnacentral:lncRNA from 1 species
AAAAAUUCAACAAUUGAAUGCAAUUUUUAUUAUUUCAUCUUUCCCUCCCUUUUUUUUUCACAAUAAUCACCCAUUCCCUCCAAAUAGUUUCCAUGUAAAUUAAAUAGAUUCAAUUAAAGAAGAAAAUAAGAAAUAGGGCUUUAUCUCUCUCGACCGCGCCGCUGCCAAUCACAUCUUUCUCAGAUCAUCACCGACUGCCAUCCCAUGGUAACCCAACUCGUCUCUCUCACUCUCUCAGUCGCACUUACACAUGCUCUCUCUCUCUCUCUCUNUCANCUCAUNUCAUNACUAUNUACAUCCAUGUANNNNNNNNNNNNNNNNNNNNNNNNNNCGUUCCUCACUCUCACUCUCUCCAUCUCUCUCUCUCUCUCUCUCUCUCUCUCUCUCUCUCUCUCUCUCUCUCUCUCUCUCUCUCUCUCUCUCUCUCUCUCUCUCUCUCUCUCUCUUGAUCUAUUGCUUUUAUAUUAUGGGUUUGAUUAGAUAAGAUUUGAUGAGAAUGUAAAGAAACUUGGAGAAGAAAAUUGGAAUGCAAUUUAUUGAUGAGAUGUAGAAAAGAGUAUUUGCAAUGUGCUAAUGUGAUAUUUUAUUUUUCUAGAAAAUUUAGUUUUUGAAAUGUCUAAUUGUUGAGGCUUGAUGGGUCCCAAAAUGUAGAGAAUGGAGAUGAAUUUGGAGUUAUGAAGGGUGUUUCAAAUGAUUUUUUCGGUUAAUUAGAAAGAAGAAAUCAAACUAAAAAGGUUAUUCAGAGAUGGAACUUUUGAAACAAUGGUUUCGUGAAAUGUAAGGUUAUAUCGUAAGUUAAGUUGUCUAAUUUUGAUUUGCAAGGCAACCUGAUUAUAGAUUUACUAAACAACAGAGAUUUGAGCAUUAGUCACAAGGUCUAGUUAUGAACACAUAUUAGUUUACUGAAAUCAGGAAAUUGAAAAUUUUGUUCAUAUGUUAAAGUUUUUUCAUGACUUUGCUCAGCAGAGCCUGGUGGAUAUUUCAUUCCACUUGUUUCAAAUUAGAACAUCUUUACUAAUUCUCUUGGAACAUCCCUAGUCACUAUGACCUGAUAAAUAACUUGAAUACUAUAUCACCCAAAAGCAUGUAGUGAUGUCAGAAUCUCUAAUAGAAUUGAAAUUCACAAUGCAGGUUUAUUUUUGCAGCUACAGUACCUUCUUUUAUAACAACAGUUUGCGAUUACAAUAUAUUUAAUCACUUAAUGCUAUUUUGUUGUAGCUUUCUCAUCUUAGAAAACUUUUGACUUCCAUUUUACAUAGUAAUAAGCAAUUUUGUGGCUCAUUGUUUUCCACAACAAUGAACUCUUCUCGCUCUUUCUCAAUGAGACAACAACAUAUUCAUGUGAGCAAUUCGAAAGGUAAGUGCUCAAACUUCUACUAUCUGUUCCUUGGAUUUUUUAUCAUAUGAGAAUUAUAUUUUUUUUUCCUUAAUCCCUUUGUUACGGUGGUCUAUUUUUCUUUUAUAAUAUUUCUUAAGUCAAGAGGAAGACUUGAAAGUUGCACAGCUAAGAAAGAUUCUUUUUUAUUGAAAAGGUAAGUCGUCAACAAAGUACACAUUUUAGAGACAAGAUGUGGUUGAAAGAGUUUGGUUGUUGAAGUUGUCAAGCGAAUAUGAUUGAAAUAUACUCUACCACCCUUGUGUUAGAUGUUUAGACAUCAUAGACUUUUAAUUUCCGCCUAAGAGAGCAACCACCCUUAGGAAAUUAAAUUCUUUUCUUCCUUGUUUGUUCUUAAAAAUGGUACCUUUUUUCAAAUUCUUUAACGAAUGUUUGAUUAAUUUUUUUGCCCUUAAAGAUAGUGCAGAUCAUAUAGGAAACCAAGUUGUUACAAUGAAUCGUAAAAGCCAAAGCUGCUCAAAUUCAGUACUAAUUCAUAGAUGCUUCCUAUCUAUGUAGGAACUUUAUAUCUGAGAUUGACUAUCUAUUUGACUCAAGUAUUUAUCUUGUGUUAUAGCUUUACCUCUAUGGAAAAGGCUGAAAUACAUUUUGUUUAUGUAUUAUGUGAUCAAGAGAUGUUCUGUGUCUUGCCAUAUUCUUCCAAGUAAAUACCCUUAUUUAUCUUUAUUGAGUAUUCUUAAAAUAAAUUUCUACAAGAAUAGAUAGAUGAUGCUACACAACACACUUGACAAUAAACAUUCGGUUAUGAUUUCUAAGUUUACUAAUCAGAAUAUUGUCCAUGUAGGUAAAGGUUUUGCUACAGGAAAAAUAUGCCUAGAAAAAGUUGAAGUUAUUCAGCUCACCAAGUUUAAGGAAUAGUAGUUACCAUUGUCAUGCUCAACAUAAUAAUAUCUGGGAAAUUACAACUCUUCCUCUAUUCUAGGUAUGACUCCAUUCACUCUCAAAUUGACUGACUGAAAUGUUGGAUAAUUUGAUAAUCUAGAAUAAUUAGUUUCGUUACAGCAUGAAGUAUCAAACUUGGUCGUAUCUUAGUGUUUGGUUUGUAUCUCAAUUUGUGUUGUCAAAUAAUUGUCUCUGUUAUUUUUAAGAAAUGUUUAUUUAUUAUUAUACUGCUAGCUUUUUCCAAUUGUUUCUGAUCAGCUUAUUUACAUGAUUAAACUUGUGCUAAGUUGAUCUAUAACUAUAGUAAUAAAAUUAAGUUGUCUGAUACGCCUAUGGUACUAUGUGUGUUAUUAAAAAAGGAGAAUUUAAAAGGUUGCUUUCUGGAGCAAUAUCUAGACUAACUAAAGGAUCCAACUUUUCUGGCCUACAACAACAUCUCGGUAAAAUCUCAAUAAGUGGGGUUUGGGGAGGGUAGUGUGUACGCUGACCUUACCCCUAUCUCGAUGGGGCAGAGAGGCUGUUUUCGAUACGAUUGGUAUGAGUAGUACAAUUCUGCGGAUUAGUGAAUUUUGUUAAAUGACCAUUUUCAUUUAUUUGUUUGUUCCCUUAAUUGAUCAGGAAAUAAUGAAUGAAAUGUUGAGCAAUUGUGAGUUUUGUUAAAUGAUUGUUUUCAAUGUUUUCUCAGUUGUUGGGAUUCAUUUUAAUUGGUUUUAGUUGGUAGCUCCUUUCAGAAUAUAUUUACAUAUAGAAUUACUAAUUUGUUUUUCACUUGAUUUCAUCUUUUAACAUACAUUUAUUAUUAUUUCAGGUCAUACAUCAAUGAUGUCCAAACUUUUAGCAUUUGGAAGAAUUCAAUAUAAUGAAGAGUUGCGAAUAUUUAUUGUGGACUUACGUAUCUAUUAUUUUGUUAUUGUAGGCAUUCAAUAUGAUUAGUUGUAAUGAUAUUAGUUAUUUAAUUCAAAUAAUGUAAUUUUAUCUUUUAUGUCAUUGAUGCAUUAAUAAUAUAGAUUAGCACUUUUUUGUCUAGAUUUAGUGAAAUAUUAUGUUUUUUGUGAAUUA